rnacentral:ncRNA from 1 species
GGCGGUCUUCGGUAGUGGCUGCCGGGAAUUCUGACUCCCGGCCGCUUCGAUCGACGGCCGUA